AUGUAGGGCAAGAUCUGUCUUUCGAUAGGGAUGUUACUACAAAAAUUAUUUUAGAUGUGUUUCCCUUCAAGUCAAAUAUCUUGU
rnacentral:pre_miRNA from 1 species